UUCCAGGCCACAGGUGUGGCAUAUGGAGGUUCCCAGGCUAGGGAUCAAAUUGGAGCUACAGCUGCCAGCCUUCGCCUCAGUCAUAGCAACGAAAUAUCCGAGCCUCGUCUGUGACCUACUGCAGCCCGUGGCAAUAUUGGCUCCUCAACCCACUGAGCGAGGCCAGGGAUCAAACCUGGUGCCCUCGUGGAUACUAGUCUGGUUCAUUUCCACUGAGCCACAACGGGAACUCCACAUGUCCUUCAUUAUAAGGCUUAAUUAGUCCCUAGGAACUGAUGAACCCACGUGAUGGCAAUUCCCCCUAUAAAUGGUAGUCUCCACCCCCUGGUGAGCAAAGCCGGCUGCUAUGUCCUGCUUACUGUCGGCCUCGCAUGGUGGGGAUGUUGCUGCUCUAGGACCCUCUGUUUCCCUCUGGUAUAAUUCCGCAGAGGUCAAGUGUAUCAAAACUCAGGAGUCAUCUUCCCUCCCACGUGGAUGACAUGCCCAAGACGUGUUCUGGGAGCAAGAUGGGCUUGCAGAUCCCACGUUGACUAUUUACUAAGAGAUAAUACCGCUGCAAGGAUUGUGGCUUCAAAGAACAUGUUUUGGAAAUUAUGUAAGUAUGUAUAUUUAUACAAUGGAUUAUGAAAACCUUUUAAAAACAAACUUGGGUAUUUACAUCAUAGACCUUCAGACUCCAAAAAAGCUGUUUUGCUCUGUUUGCAAUGUCCAUUCAUGAGCGUGAGGUCUUUUAAAAAAUAUUGCCAUGCAAUGAAAUAAUGAGGGAAAACCACAAGAAAAAUAAGGUUAAUGAGCUCUCCCUUCAGACCACUAUUCUGCAUAAUUUAAGGGGUGGAAAAAGAAUAUCAGCAUAGGGAAAUUACAAACUGUGGCAAGAAUUAAGGAUAGAAAAUUGAAGCAAGCCCUAACAGAAUUGAACUGAAACGCUAUAAAAAGGGAAGAACAUAAGUAUUUACUUUUUCCCAGUUUAAUAAACUUUGUGGGAUGAGGGAUGGAAUGAUUUAAUUCUGGGUGGAGAAAAAUGUGCUUUUCAUCUUCAAAGCAUUUCAUUUGCAUAAAACAGCUCCAUGAAAUUAACAAAGGGUCUAGUCUGAUUAGUACUCAUUGCAUUUUUUUUUUAAAUGUUGUGCUUUUUAGUUUGAUAGAUCAGAGAUUUUCAAGGCACCCUUGGAGGUAUAACUUGAGUGCUUUUCAUGUCUUUUGUCUGUACUAAUUAUCAUUUUAAUCUUUCAUUCUCUAAUAGGAACACUUGCCUAUGGAAAUCAUUCUUUUUUUUUUUUUUUUUUUCUUUGUAAAAAUUGGUUCUCGAAACGGGUGGUCACUGUGUAACACCUGGCAUGCUGGGUCUCAAAACAGAUUGGCUGGAAAAUAGCAAAUUGUAGUUCAAUGCCAACAAUGCAAAGCCUGUAAUAUUUUAAAAGGAAGAAGACAAUAUUCUAUGAUGGAUGUAUGCAUGGCACAGGCACAAAACCUUGGGAGAAGAUGCUUACUAAAUUCAUGAUGGAGGCUGCCUCUGGGGAAAGAGAAGGGAGAAUGGUGCUGGGCAGGAAAUGGAGGGGCUUCAACUUAUUUUUUUUUUUUUUUUAAAGAUCUUAAAAUUCGGCCAAUUUAAUCUAUUGUAGUAGAUGGUGCUGUAUAGAUAUCUGCUGUCUGUUAUCUUUACUUUUCUGUUUUCUUUCUCCUCCUGUUGAAUAAACUACACAAUUUUAUGGAAAAGGAAAAAUCCCACUUGAGUUCAAUUGAACUCAGUUGUAGAUUGGCCAAUCAUAAAUGAAGCAGCUGUUACCGGGAGGGAAACAAAUCUAAACUCCAAUGAUAGAAAAAAUCAAAUCUGGCCUUUGUAUAAGGUCUUCUCUUUAAUUCUCUCUCUUUUUUUGUCUUUUUAGGGCCAUACCUGUGG